UCAUUACCGAGUUUACAACUCCCAAACCCCUGUGAACAUACCACUUGUUGCCUCGGCGGAUCAGCCCGCUCCCGGUAAAACGGGACGGCCCGCCAGAGGACCCCUAAACUCUGUUUCUAUAUGUAACUUCUGAGUAAAACCAUAAAUAAAUCAAAACUUUCAACAACGGAUCUCUUGGUUCUGGCAUCGAUGAAGAACGCAGCAAAAUGCGAUAAGUAAUGUGAAUUGCAGAAUUCAGUGAAUCAUCGAAUCUUUGAACGCACAUUGCGCCCGCCAGUAUUCUGGCGGGCAUGCCUGUUCGAGCGUCAUUUCAACCCUCAAGCACAGCUUGGUGUUGGGACCCGCGUUAAUUCGCGUUCCCCAAAUUGAUUGGCGGUCACGUCGAGCUUCCAUAGCGUAGUAGUAAAACCCUCGUUACUGGUAAUCGUCGCGGCCACGCCGUUAAACCCCAACUUCUGAAUGUUGACCUCGGAUCAGGUAGGAAUACCCGCUGAACUUAAGCAUAUCA
rnacentral:rRNA from 1 species